rnacentral:rRNA from 1 species
UUGGGCGUAAGAGCUCGUAGGCGGUCUGUCGCGUCGGCUGUGAAAACUUGGGGCUCAACCCCAAGCCUGCAGUCGAUACGGGCAGACUAGAGUGCGGUAGGGGAGACUGGAAUUCCUGGUGUAGCGGUGAAAUGCGCAGAUAUCAGGAGGAACACCGGUGGCGAAGGCGGGUCUCUGGGCCGUAACUGACGCUGAGGAGCGAAAGCGUGGGGAGCGAACAGGAUUAGAUACCCUGGUAGUCCACGCCGUAAACGGUGGGUGCUAGGUGUGAGCGGUAUUCCACGCCGUUCGUGCCGCAGCUAACGCAUUAAGCACCCCGCCUGGGGAGUACGGCCGCAAGGCUAAAACUCAAAGGAAUUGACGGGGGCCCGCACAAGCAGCGGAGCAUGUGGCUUAAUUCGACGCAACGCGAAGAACCUUACCAAGGCUUGACAUGCAGGGAAAUCCUCCAGAGAUGGGGGGUCCGCAAGGGUCCUGCACAGGUGGUGCAUGGUUGUCGUCAGCUCGUGUCGUGAGAUGUUGGGUUAAGUCCCGCAACGAGCGCAACCCUCGUUCUAUGUUGCCAGCGCGUGAUGGCGGGGACUCAUAGGAGAUUGCCGGGGUCAACUCGGAGGAAGGUGGGGACGACGU